rnacentral:rRNA from 1 species
AACGAACGCUGGCGGCGUGGAUAAGACAUGCAAGUCGAACGGGAAUCAUCGGGUAGCAAUAUUCGGUGGUUCUAGUGGCGAAAGGGUGCGUAACACGUAGCUAUCUACCUUGAAGUGGGGGAUAAUCCCGCGAAAGCGGGACUAAUACCGCAUGUGAUCGAGAGAUCAAAGUUGGGGAUCGUAAGACCUGACGCUUUAAGAUGAGGCUGCGGCCUAUCAGGUAGUUGGCGGGGUAAUGGCCCACCAAGCCUAAGACGGGUAGCUGGUCUGAGAGGACGACCAGCCACACUGGAACUGAGACACGGUCCAGACACCUACGGGUGGCUG